rnacentral:rRNA from 1 species
UACGUAGGUCCCGAGCGUUGCCCGGAAUCACUGGGCGUAAAGCGCGGGUAGGCGGUUCGGUAAGUCGAACGUGAAAUCCCUGGGCUCAACCCAGGAACGGCGUUCGGGACUGCCGGACUCGAGGGCGGUAGAGGGCGCUGGAAUUCCCGGUGUAGCGGUGAAAUGCAUAGAUAUCGGGAGGAACACCGGUGGCGAAGGCGGGCGCCUGGGCCGUUCCUGACGCUGAGCCGCGAAAGCUGGGGGAGCAAACCGG